AAAAUCUCGUAACUUCUAAGUGAACCAGGCAGUUUCCAAAACCUGCCUUUUAGCUAUUAAGCUAUAAAUAUUUGAAAAAAGUAUUUACAUUGACAAAUAACUAUGAAGUUUUUAGAACUUAUGAAGAUCAUGAUGAAGAAAAAACUAUUUGUAAUAUUAUCAAAUUGCUUAUUCCUUUCUGAAGUCAUUUAUUCAAUAUCAUUUAUUUGCAGAUAAUAGGUACCAGGCAUUGAGAAAUUCAGAAUAAAUAAGAAAAUGGAAUAAACAAAGGGUUAUAAAAAAAUCUAGGAUGGGUUAUUCAUUUUAAAAGAGAAUGGGGCUUAGGUGAAAAAAAGCAAAAAUAUACACAAGGACUUGAACAUUCUAACAUAAUGAGCAAGUCAUACCCUGCCAGAUGCACGAGAGUGGAUGACAGGAUGUGCUGGAAAGGAACAUGGGAAGUACCUAAAAUGAAAAGGACCUGAAAUGCAAUUCUAAAGAUUUCGUCUAAAAGAAAUGGCAAGUUGGCAGAUAAUUUUUAAAUUCAAGUGUAAAUAAUCUGAUAAGUAUUUUAGAAAGCUGACUGGAUGGUAUAAAGAGGGUGCAUUAGAGAAGGAAAAUAUGGGUGGCAGGGAGAUCUAUGAGGGUUUUGUGAUGGGUUGAAUGGUGUCCUCCCAGGAGAUAUGUUGAAGCCCUAUUUUUGGUACCUGUGAAUAUGACUUCAUUUGGAAAUAGGAUCUUUGCAGAUGAAAUCUAGUUAAGAUGGGUUCAUUAAGGUGGGCCCUAAUUCAAUAUGACUGUUUUCCUUAUAAAAAAAGGAAAAGACGGAGAAACGGGGAGAAGAAUGCCACAUAACAAUGAAGGUAGAGAAUGGGGUUACACAGCUACAGACCAGAGAACAUGAAGGACUGUCACCAACACCACUGCUAAGAGAAGGGCACAGAACAGGUUCUCCCGCAGAGCCUUUAGAGGAAGCAAGACCCUGUCAACAGCUUUUCUGAGUUCUAGCCUUCAGAACUGUGAGAGAAUAAAUUUCAGCUUAUGGUACUUUUUAUAUGACAGCCCAAGGAAACUAACACAAGUAUUGGUGGAACACUUCUUCAACAAAUAGCACUUGAAUUAAGGCAGUGGCAGUAAAAAUGGAGAGGAGGAGGUAUGUGGUAGACCAGGGAUAUAUUUGCUAAAGGACAAACGAAGUAAUGAGACUUAGAAACAGAACGAUGGAGCCACAAAGAAUGCCUGAAAUGGUAAUAGGAUACAUGCUGGAAUGUUGAUGGGCCCCAUUUCCACAAGCCUCCAAAUCUGCUUCUAGAUCCCAUUCAAGCAAGGGAGGAUUUGUUAAGAAGAAAGGCCCUUUGAGAGCACCAGUCCCUCCACCAGCCAGUCUAGUCCUAAGAGCUCUGAAGGCCAACCUUGGAGGUGGUUCAGGAGGGAAAAUGCAGGACCCAGGAUUUCAGUUGCCAAGCCAGAGAGCAGGGGACCCAGGAAAGAAUAUUGGCAUUCAUUUGAUUUUUCCAUCUUCUGAUAUAACCUUCAAAUGUUAAUAGUGUGUCGAAGAAUUUAUUGGAAAUGAGAAACAAGAAAACAGUGAGUCUAACCUAGUCAUUCUAGAAUUGGGAGGUAAUAGAAAAGAGAGAAAUGGGAAAGUUGCUCAAAUGCAAGUCCAGUGAAUCAGAGAGAAAAGGCUCAAAGCAGCAGAACAAAGCUUCAAUAAAGAGAUAUUGUGACUUGGAGAGAUGGCCUUUUGUCCUUUGUUCUAUUACCAGUCAGAGGAUGGGGAGCACACCCGAGCCUGAGACAACAGCUCUGCUAAGUGCCCUUGAGAGGGCACGGUGGGGUCAGCACCAAAGUCAGACCACUAAAGAGAAAAAGAGAGAAAGACAGGAUUGCAGAGGAGAAAUGAGAAUGGCAGAAAAAAUAAUUUUUUAAGCCAAAAGGAAUCAGAGAAGAGCAGAAGUGCCUCUAGGAUAAAGCGUAGCAGGCAGUUAGGGAAAAAGGGCUGUUAACUACCUUGAAGCUCUGACUACAUUAGAAAGCCUCGCAAGACAGUCGUUGCUUGCACGGGCAGGUAGAGAACUUUUCCUGUCCAUUGUUCUUCUGAAUUAUAAAUCACUGACCUCUUUAUGAUUUCUAAAGGGAAAAUGACUUCAAGCUUCUUAGAGUUCCCCUAAGGCAUUCUCUAUAUUCAAUAUAAUAUGGGAAGCCCUGGGUUUGUCUUUGUAUGUUUCAUCUGCAGUGACCUGAAAUCUUCAUAACCCUCUUCCUUUCUCCACUUAUCAACUAAGGGGUGGUUGGCAAUAAGGAUGGGUGGGAGAGAAAAAAAAACAGAAUUUGAGGAGGAGAGCAUUUAAACCAUCAGACUGUGUGUUCUGUGACAUCAAAGACUGGCAACAUUCUAAAGGAAAAGCAGCUGUGAAGUCAUAAUUAUGUUCACUUCCCACUGGCAACUGGCAAGCCCUUUAUUUUUGUGCAUUCGGAACUCACCAAGAAUAAAUAAAGUCCAUUCCCUCCUUGAGGGGCUAUUCUGCCAUUCCAUCUAGGAUUUAAAAGUUUGCCAAUUCCUAAAACAUCUAUUGUUAUCAAUAGUCUUGUGUCUUUCACAAAGCGGACUUUACAAAAUAAGAUGCCAUGUCCAGCCAAAUAAAUGAGACUGAACUUCAUGGUUGUUGUUUUUACUUCAUCCCGGUCAAAAGAAAUGAAAUUAAAUAUAAAAAGCAGAUCACCAAAUAAAGUCCAAAUGAAUUAAGCACUGCUCCUAGUAUAACUCACAGUUAAUAUAAGUUGACUAUCCACUCUGCAGACAACACUUUUCAUCAACAUUUUUCACCAUACAGCUAGACCUCAACUAACAGUCAAGUGUCAAAAAAAUGAAUCACUUUAGAACCCAUCUUAAUAAUGAGACAAUUGACUUCUGGUACCCAAUUUAGAACAUCUACAAAAGGAGUGGUGAGCAGAUUUCCACUGUGAUGCAAAAUCUUAUUCAUUGGGCAUUGAUAGCUGAGUGCUGUGUUAAGGAUUCUGAAGUGGUAAAUCACAAAGAAUGCUGUCAACACACUUAGUAAAUAGUUAACACAGGACUUCUCUAGUAUUAAAAUUCAUAAUAGUGGCCAGGUGCGGUGGCUCACACCUGUAAUCCUAGCACUUUGGGAGG
rnacentral:lncRNA from 1 species